rnacentral:rRNA from 1 species
GAUGAACGCUGGCGGCGUGCUUAACACAUGCAAGUCGAACGAUGAAGCCCAGCUUGCUGGGUGGAUUAGUGGCGAACGGGUGAGUAACACGUGAGUAACCUGCCCUUAACUCUGGGAUAAGCCUGGGAAACUGGGUCUAAUACCGGAUAGGAGCGUCCACCGCAUGGUGGGUGUUGGAAAGAUUUAUCGGUUUUGGAUGGACUCGCGGCCUAUCAGCUUGUUGGUGAGGUAAUGGCUCACCAAGGCGACGACGGGUAGCCGGCCUGAGAGGGUGACCGGCCACACUGGGACUGAGACACGGCCCAGACUCCUACGGGAGGCAGCGGUGGGGAAUAUUGCACAAUGGGCGCAAGCCUGAUGCAGCGACGCCGCGUGAGGGAUGACGGCCUUCGGGUGGUAAACCUCUUUCAGUAGGGAAGAAGCGAAAGUGACGGUACCGGCAGAAGAAGCACCGGCUAACUACGU